GGAGUUAGCCGGUGCUUCUUCUGUGAGUGAUGUCCUUCCUGCCGGCUAUUAACCCGCAGGCCUUCUUCCUCACUGAAAGUGCUUUACAACCCGAAGGCCUUCUUCACACACGCGGCAUGGCUGGAUCAGGGUUGCCCCCAUUGUCCAAUAUUCCCCACUGCUGCCUCCCGUAGGAGUCUGGGCCGUGUCUCAGUCCCAGUGUGGCUGAUCAUCCUCUCAGACCAGCUACGGAUCGUCGCCUUGGUGAGCCGUUACCUCACCAACCAGCUAAUCCGACAUAGGCUCAUCCGAUAGCGCGAGGCCCGAAGGUCCCCCGCUUUCCCCCGUAGGGCGUAUGCGGUAUUAGCCUGGGUUUCCCCAGGUUAUCCCCCACUACCGGGCAGAUUCCUAUGCAUUACUCACCCGUCCGCCGCUCGCCACCAGGGAGCAAGCUCCCCGUGCUGCCGCUCGACUUGCAUGUGUUAGGCCUGCCGCCAGCGUUCAAUCUGAGCCAUGAUCAAACUCUG
rnacentral:rRNA from 1 species